rnacentral:misc_RNA from 1 species
GAAAUGCGAUAAGUAAUGUGAAUUGCAGAAUUCCGUGAAUCAUCGAAUCUUUGAACGCACAUUGCGCCCCCUGGUAUUCCGGGGGGCAUGCCUGUCCGAGCGUCAUUGCAACCCCUUCAAGCCCGGCUUGUGUGUUGGGCGCCGUCCUCGCUGGACGCGCCCAAAAGGCAGUGGCGGCUCCGUGCUCCGGUGCCCGAGCGUAUGGGCUUCAGUCACCCGCUCUAGUGGCCCGGCCGGUGCUGGCCUCCUCUAGGCCUCUACUGGACUCCAGUGGAAGCCUAGCUGAAUUUUUCGUGGUUGACCUCGGAUCAGGUAGGGAUACCCGCUGAACUUAA